CAUGGAGUCUUCUGUCUAGUCCUAUGGGCCCCAGGCCAGGUAAAACACAGCAUGGAGUCUUCUGUCUAGUCCAAUGGGCCACAGGCCAGGUAAAACACAGCAUGGAGUCUUCUGUCUAGUCCAAUGGGCCCCAGGCCAGGUAAAACACAACAUGGAGUCUUCUGUCUAGUCCUAUGGGCCCCAGGCCAGGUAAAACACAGCAUGGAGUCUUCUGUCCAGCCCUAUGGGCCCCAGGCCAGGUAAAACACAACAUGGAGUCUUCUGUCUAGUCCAAUGGGCCCCAGGCCAGGUAAAACACAACAUGGAGUCUUCUGUCUAGUCCUAUGGGCCCCAGGCCAGGUAAAACACAGCAUGGAGUCUUCUGUCUAGUCCUAUGGGCCCCAGGCCUGGUAAAACACAGCAUGGAGUCUUCUGUCUAGUCUUAUGGGCCCCAGGUAAAACACAGCAUCUGACAAACUGGGAGCUAAGGGACAGCUGUUUGUCACUGGCUGGGUACAUGCAGGUAUGGUGGACGUUGAUGUGGCAACGGCAAGCACUGUUGGGGGAGGAGAUUGCUGUAGCCUCCGUUAUUAUAUGAAGAGGAGAUUAUAAUGAAGGCUACAGACAUAACGAGCUACAUCUAAGUACUUUGGCCUCAACCUUUAAUAAACAACAGCCUUUGAUCUGUUUUCACCCAGUGUACCUGAUGGAACUCACUGACUACCUUUUUAAUGGGCAUCUAUCAUUACUUUUGAAGGUACCGGUCGAUGUCUUAGUCCUACAAAUAGCUGGUUGGUCUGGUUUGUGUGUGGCUGCUUGCUGAAUAAGCUUUGUUGUGCAGAAUGCUGGUGGGAGGAAGGUAUUUAUCUUCCUCUGAGGUACAGGUCAUAGUUAAGCAGGAUGGCAGUUGUCUAUCUGAUGGACUCUUCCUGCUAAACCUGCUUGAAUGGGUUAGGGUUUCUGCUGCUGUGUCAGAUAUCACUGUGAAGAUUAAUGGGUUGUUGAGCUGUGUGUGUGUGUGUGUGUGU
ensembl:lncRNA